UACGUAGGGGGCAAGCGUUAUCCGGAUUUACUGGGUGUAAAGGGAGCGUAGACGGCAGCGCAAGUCCGGAGUGAAAUGCCGGGGCCCAACCCCGGAACUGCUUUGGAAACUGUGCAGCUCGAGUGCAGGAGAGGUAAGCGGAAUUCCUAGUGUAGCGGUGAAAUGCGUAGAUAUUAGGAGGAACACCAGUGGCGAAGGCGGCUUACUGGACUGUAACUGACGUUGAGGCUCGAAAGCGUGGGGAGCAAACAGG
rnacentral:rRNA from 1 species